UACAGAGGGGGCAAGCGUUAUUCGGAAUUAUUGGGCGUAAAGGGCGCGUAGGCGGCUUUGCAAGUGACGGGUGAAAUCCCUCGGCUUAACCGGGGAACUGCGUCCGAUACUGGUGGGCUUGAAUCCGGGAGAGGGAUGCGGAAUUCCAGGUGUAGCGGUGAAAUGCGUAGAUAUCUGGAGGAACACCGGUGGCGAAGGCGGCAUCCUGGACCGGCAUUGACGCUGAGGCGCGAAAGCUAGGGGAGCAAACGGG
rnacentral:rRNA from 1 species